rnacentral:rRNA from 1 species
GAUGAACGCUGGCGGCGUGCCUAAUACAUGCAAGUCGAGCGAACAGACGAGGAGCUUGCUCCUCUGACGUUAGCGGCGGACGGGUGAGUAACACGUGGAUAACCUACCUAUAAGACUGGGAUAACUUCGGGAAACCGGAGCUAAUACCGGAUAAUAUAUUGAACCGCAUGGUUCAAUAGUGAAAGACGGUUUUGCUGUCACUUAUAGAUGGAUCCGCGCCGCAUUAGCUAGUUGGUAAGGUAACGGCUUACCAAGGCAACGAUGCGAAGCCGACCUGAGAGGGUGAUCGGCCACACUGGAACUGAGACACGGUCCAGACUCCUACGGGAGGCAGCAGUAGGGAAUCUUCCGCAAUGGGCGAAAGCUUGACGGAGCAACGCCGCGUGAGUGAUGAAGGUCUUCGGAUCGUAAAACUCUGUUAUUAGGGAAGAACAAAUGUGUAAGUAACUAUGCACGUCUUGACGGUACCUAAUCAGAAAGCCACGGCUAACUACGUG